rnacentral:lncRNA from 1 species
AUGAGGAAGGCUGAGCGAAGGAAGAUAGAUGCUUUUGAACUGUGGUGCUGGAGGAAAAUUCUGAGAGAGCUUUGGACCGCAAGAAGAUCCAACCAGUCCAUACUCCAGGAAAUAAGGCCCGACUGCACACUGGACGGAAGGAUAUUAGAGGCAAAGAUGAAGUACUUUGGCCUCAUAAUGAGAAGACAGGAAGGCUUGGAGAAGAGAAUGAUGCUGAGGGAAAAUGGAAGGAAAGAGAAGAGGGGCCAAUCAAGAGCAAGAUGGAUGCUUUUGAAUUGUGGUGUUGGAGCCUUGGACCGCAAGAAGAUCCAACCAGUCCAUCCUCCAGGAAAUAAUGCCCGGCUGCUCACUGGAGGGAAGGAUAUGAGAAGCAAAGAUGAAGUACUUUGGCCACAUCAUGAGAAAACAGGAAAGCUUGGGGAAGAGAAUGAUGCUGGGGAAAAUUGAAGGAAAAAGGAAGAGGGGCCAACCGAGGGCAAGGUGGAUAGAUGGUAUCCUUGAAGGGACUGGCUUGACCUUGAAGGAGCUGGGGGUGGCCACGAACGACACGGAGCUCUGGCAUGGGCUGGUCCAUGAGGUCAGGAAGAAUUGGAAGUGGCUGAACGAAUAAACAAUAACAGGGUUGGGAGGCAGGGCUGUAGCCAAGGGGUGGGUGUAGGGGUUCAACCCCCACCUAAAAAAUUUCAGGUUUUUUUUUAACUAGUUUACUCAUGAAUUUUAACUGGUUAACCAAAUCCUCAUGAGUGUCCACUGAAGUUUGUCUUGUAUCUCCACUGAAGUUUAUCAAUGGAGCCUGAUUUCUAAAUUAUUUUGUGUUAUGGAACUACUUUUCAUGAGUAAAGACAUUCGAACGUGCCAUGGACAACUAAAUACCCAGGACAUUCUGGACAAUUUUACGUAACCUUACUGCUCUCAGAUAACAUCUCGGCUGUGACGUAUAAUGUUGCCAAGUUCUGCAUGGCCAUGAUUAAAAUCUGGCAGACGAUGAUUGAGAGCCAAAAAAACCUAAGUAUCACCUAUAGAGUAUAGAGGGGAAAUCAGAUGUAGACCAAUAUUUAUAAUUAUAGUUAUAGACUGUUAUUUGCAGUUAUGGGUAUUCCCCCCCCAGUGCCAUCCCCACUCCCUCCCUUUAGACUCCCCCAAGAUGAUCCAAUGGCCUCAGUUGGGUCUUAAUAGUACUGGUAUAUAGUCUUUAGCCUAGAUUUUAAAUUUUGUCUGUGAUUCAAUUUUAUAAUCGUUUAUUAUUAUUGUUGUUGUUGUUGUUGUUGUUGUUGUUGAAGUUUGAAGUAUAUAACCCCUCGGGUUUAAUAUGGAUUUAUGGGACUGGGUACCCUUGAUAUGAGCUGGUCAUUAACCGUAAUUUUAAAAAAGUUUAUUCUUCAUGAUUCACUAAGAAAAGUUUCAACCCCCCCCCCCAAUUUGGGAGUUGUAGUUAUUGGGAUUUGUAGUUAACCUACAAUCAAAGAGCACUCUGAACCCAGCCCACAAUGGAUCUGCACCAAAUUUGCAAAUGGCUCCAUGAUCAGCCAAGGAGGAAGAUAAUGAUUAUUUGGGCGGACAGGGAAGAAAUUAUCUUCCGAUCCACACCAAUGACUGAUCAUGAUAAAAUUUGGCACACAGAGCCCCUAUGACCAACUCUACAUCCUGGUGUGGUUUGUGGGGCAACAGACCAUGGAUGAUGGGACUUGCAGUACCUUCACUCACUUCCUGAGAUCACUGCCACCCCCACCAGUGACUGAUCAAGACCACACUUGGCACACAGAGCACCCAUGACCCACUCUACAUCCUGGCGCUGUUUGGAGGGGGAUGGACCAUGGAGGAUGCGACUUGCAUAUGGGAGUUGCAGUUCUCCCUCACCCACUGAACCCAGCUGACGUUGGAUCUAGAGUACACUUGGAACACAGGUCUACAAUGCCUUUCUCAAAUAACCCGGGCACCGUCGGGUCCCCAAGCUAGUUACAGUAGAGUCUCACUUAUCCAACAUAAACGGGCCGGCAGAAUGUUGGAUAAGCGAAUAUGUUGGAUAAUAAGGAGGCAUUAAGGAAAAGCCUAUUAAACAUCAAAUUAGGUUAUGAUUUUACAAAUUAAGCACCAAAACAUCAUGUUAGACAACAAAUUUGGCAGAAAAAGUAGUUCAAUAUGCAGUAAUGCUAUGUGGUAACUACUAUAUUUAUGAAUUUAGCACCAAAAUAUCACGAUAUAUUGAAAACAUUGACUACAAAAAUGUGUUGGAUAAUCCAGAACGUUGGCUAAGCGAGUGUUGGAUGAGUGAGACUCUACUGUAGAUAAUAAAAACAACGCGGCCCUUAAAACCGAUUCUACCUGUGCGGAAGACAACUUUCCCCGUGCACCGCUCGCCUCCCUGUGAGCCCAGACCCUGCUUUCCUCGUUAGCAAACGUCUGCGGCCCUUGAGCCCAGCGGUUACCCAUAUCAUCAACCAUGACUAAUAAAUAACUCAAUACACCCAAGGGCGAGUCAGCUCGCCUUGCUGCGCGCGCAGGGAAGGCGAGGGCUGGCCCUUUAAGGCGCCCGCCUCGGUCGUCGUGAGAGAUGCGUCGGCUCCCAUCCCCCGGAGGAGGGGGAGGAGGGGGGUCCAGGGGAGAAGGAGGAGAAGAAAUAGACAGCUGUCUCUUUAAAAUGUCAUUUCCUUCUAUUGUAUUGGAGUCGUGAUCAGGAAAGAGGAUGUGAAAGCAGAGCGGCUGGGAGGGAAGGAGGGAGGGAGAAAGAGACAGAGAGACAGAGAAGGAGAGAGAAAGAAGAGCUUCAGAAGUAGGACCAGCAAUAAGAAGAAGAUAAUAAGAAGAAGACUAAGGAGGAGCUGCUGUCGGUGUCGGAGGAGGAGCAGCAGGAGCAGCGGAUGCUGAGCGCUGCCUAAAGCGAGAGAGAAGGAUUCAUCCCGGGAUCGAAGCGCGGCAGAGAUGGGAGGCUGAGAAGGAUCUCUCCCCCAAAGGCCAUCUCAUCUCCCGACACUCCAGGCUCCUUUGGUCUGUCUGUGCUCCUCUUCCUCCCUUUCCAGAAGGGAGCCCCGUGGAUGUGGUCGCGGGUGGGGUGAGCCCGAGCGAGACCUGCCAAUGUCCUCGGCCAUCGAAAGGAAAAGCCUCGAGCCCUCCGAGUAAGUCGCCUUCCUCCUUCCUCCUCGCCUUUCCCUUCCCAACUUUGCCUUUCUUUUGGGGUGCCAACAGCUUCUACUCGCCCUGGAUUGGGAGAGACAUCCCACCUCCUCCAGGUCCAGAGAUGCCCUUCUUUACUGAGCUUUUAUUUUAUUCUGAUGCUGACUCUUAGAAGGCUCAGGUUGGUCGCUCAGCCACACAGUUUAAGGGGAUCCCAUGCAUUGCAUAGGGUUGUCUGAUGCCCUUUUCCUGCCUUGAUCCCCGUUUUUGGGGACCUCCUUUCGCAGUCUCGGGGUCCGUCUGGGCUUGGCGGUGGGAGCCAAGAGAAGGACGCCUCUUGACCCCUUGCCACUAUUUCCUUCAGACCCCAAAUGUCAACUAUUGCAGUCAGUUAAAACUUUAGAGUUCGGGAAUCCGAAGAAAAAGGAAAGGCUGAGGGAAAGCGAGGACCGCAAAUAGGAGUUCCAGCGUGUAUAUAAUAUAUAUGUGUAUCCUCAAGUUACCUGUUACCUUAUGGCGACCCUAUAGGCAAGCAUGGGCAAACUUGGGCCCUCCAGGGGUUUUGGACUUCAACUCCCACCAUUCCUAACAGCCUCAGGCCCCUUCCUUUCCCCCCUCAGCCGCUUAAGCGGCUGAAGGGAGAAAGGAA